rnacentral:rRNA from 1 species
UGGGGAAUUUUGGACAAUGGGCGAAAGCCUGAUCCAGCAAUGCCGCGUGUGUGAAGAAGGCCUUCGGGUUGUAAAGCACUUUUGUCCGGAAAGAAAUCUGUCUGGCUAAUACCCGGACGGGAUGACGGUACCGGAAGAAUAAGCACCGGCUAACUACGUGCCAGCAGCCGCGGUAAUACGUAGGGUGCGAGCGUUAAUCGGAAUUACUGGGCGUAAAGCGUGCGCAGGCGGUUUUGUAAGACCGAUGUGAAAUCCCCGGGCUUAACCUGGGAACUGCAUUGGUGACUGCAAGGCUAGAGUGCGUCAGAGGGGGGUGGAAUUCCGCGUGUAGCAGUGAAAUGCGUAGAGAUGCGGAGGAACACCGAUGGCGAAGGCAGCCCCCUGGGAUGACACUGACGCUCAUGCACGAAAGCGUGGGGAGCAAACA